AAAGGUUGAAAACAAACAAUGUGCCUCAGUGUGCGUUUUUGUAUUGUGCUGUAUCAGUAGAACUUAUGCAAAAUUAGAGAGAUAGAGUCAUACCUAAAUGCGCUCUUUUUGUGUUUGGUUAAGCUGAAAUCUCACCAUGUUGGAUAAGCUUGCAGGCUCCAAACAUUCUUUAUGACAGACAACUUCUUUAUCAGCUUGGGCUUACCUUCU
rnacentral:lncRNA from 1 species